GGGUGUGAUCAUACCAGCGUUAAUGCACCAGAUCCCAUUAGAACUUCACAAUUAAGUGCGCUUGGUCUAGAGUAGUAUUGGGAUGGGUGACCUCUCGGGAAGUCCUAGUGUUGCACCCU
rnacentral:rRNA from 1 species